UAGGGAGGAAAAGAAACCAACCGGGAUUGCCUCAGUAACGGCGAGUGAAGCGGCAAAAGCUCAAAUUUGAAAUCUGGCACUUUCAGUGUCCGAGUUGUAAUUUGUAGAAGUAGUUUUGGGGCUGGUCCUUGUCUAUGUUCCUUGGAACAGGACGUCAUAGAGGGUGAGAAUCCCGUGUGGCGAGGAUCCCAGUUCUUUGUAAAACGCUUUCGAAGAGUCGAGUUGUUUGGGAAUGCAGCUCUAAGUGGGUGGUAAAUUCCAUCUAAAGCUAAAUAUUGGCGAGAGACCGAUAGCGAACAAGUACAGUGAUGGAAAGAUGAAAAGAACUUUGAAAAGAGAGUGAAAAAGUACGUGAAAUUGUUGAAAGGGAAGGGCAUUUGAUCAGACAUGGUGUUUGGACGCCCUGCGCUCCUUGUGGGUGCAGGACACGCUUUUCACUGGGCCAACAUCGGUUUUGGCAGCAGGAUAAAUCGUUAGGAACGUAGCUGCCCUCGGGUAGUGUUACAGCCUGGCGGAAUACUGCUAGCCGGGACUGAGGACUGCGUCUUUUGACAAGGAUGUUGGCAUAAUGGUUAAAUGCCGCCCGUCUUGAAC
rnacentral:rRNA from 1 species